GUAAAUUGUGGUAGGUUAUGUAAAUUCACAGGAGGAACUUAUGAUGAGGAACUAAGGAAUCUGUUUCGUUAUGUGCUGAUUUGAGCCAUGGGAUGAAUCAUGUCUCAAACAGGAGGGAUAGAGAUAACGAAAGAGUGUUUAUAGCAUAUGGAUUUCUAUUCAAGGAAACUUUAAGAUAUAUUGUUUUAGCAUACCCUAUUUGUGCAAACAUGAUAUGCAUGAACUUUAUUGAACUAAAGAAAUGUGAACAGGAAAAUACUGCCUGGUAAUUAUAGAUGCAGUAUGUUUCCUAUGUGAAUUGAGGCCUUUCCCAGUCCUAUACCAGAUGCUUGACACCAUUUGAAUUGAUUUAUUGGAGAUCAUAUGUACUACCACAACUUAAACCUUUCACAUAGCAUGAUGAAGAGGUGAAUCAAAUGGUUAACCGAUUUUAUAAAAAUGCUAACUAGAAAAGAGAUAUUUUCUGCUAAAUUCUGUUCCAGGUUAAGCUGUAACCCAAAGAGUGGAGGAGUUAAACCAGGAAAUUGGUUUGACAGUUACAUUUUGAAUUACAUUCAUUUUGAUAAUUUCUUUAAUUUUUUCUAUAUUACAAUUCUAAAAAGCUUGGCUAAAGUUGUAUGUAUGUGGUGAAGGGGGCCUGUGAGAAUGUCCAGGUCUGCCGUGGAUACAUGGAUGUCGAAUGUCCACUCUGCGGAGUGAUGGACGAGUCAGAGUGGCGGGUCUGACUAUCUUUGGAUCUACAACCCCUGUUCUAAGGCCCCACUCCCCUGGAGACCCUGUUCCCCCCCCUUUCUCUCUGGAUGAUCUACCCCUUCCCCUUGGAGACCCUGCCCCAUCUGCCCUUAUGCCUCAUCAGACAUAGGAGUGGUCUGCCCUCCCCUCCUUCCCCUUGAAGACCCUGCCCCACCUGCCCCAAUACAUCAUCAGAUGUUCGGGAAAGCCUGUUGUACAUUUAUGGACAGGACCAUUCCAGGUCAUAGAGAGAACCUCGCACGCCCUACGGGUGCUGGGGAAAGGGUGUAUGUGGUAUGUGGUUUUCAGUCCUUCAAAACCUAUUCUAAUUCUGAUUCUAAAAAAACUGAUGCAGCACCCCCAAUGCAACAAUCAACAGAUCGCUCAUUAAGGGAACGCCCAAAACAAAAAAGCAGAGAGCGAUCGCUGGAAGAGUGGGACAACAUAAAUCAAAAAUGCCAAAACUGGGGGGAGUUAUUGCAAAGGAUGCAGUAUGAACUAAACAACCUGACGACAAAAUUACGAAACCGCUGUGACAAGAGCAACACAGGAGGAGAAAUGAGACUGGGAGUGCCUGGAACACAAACAACACCACACAGAGACUGUUUAUGCUGAUGGUAAUGAAGGCAAUACUUCAAAAUGUACAAAAGUGUCUAGACGGUGUGGUAGGCCUGAUGAGAAUGGACUGGCCAUUGCUCCAAGGACACAUGGUCCAUCACGUCAAUAACUGCAGAGAAAAAAAACUGGAAGCGGAGGCCCAGGAUCCCGACAACCCGACACCCCAGGCCCCAGUGAUGUUCCAGCCACAACCCCAACCUCCUGCUCCACCAGGACCAGUGCAGGCAGCACCAGUCAACCCCCAGAUACCACCCUGCCACUAAUCCAAGUGCAUGAUGGCACUUGGACUCAGAUGACAACUAUCAAUCCUGGAAGGGAAGAGGUGGACCUAUGCAACGUAGAGUGAGACCCCGUGGGGGAGGAGGACGAGGCCCACCCCAACAGCAGGACAGACGAGCACAAUCCAACCCCAAUCCGACUGACAAUCAGCACGCAUGGGGGUGCUGGGGAUGUGGACAACAAGGACAUAUAAGAAGAAACUGUCAAAAAUUCCGUAUUUGGUGCCAGCUGCAGGCUGGCAGUAGAGGUUUCCAGAGGAGCCUGAGAGGGAAAAGAUGUCACCAUAAAUCUCAUUACCACCAAAAAAGUAAAAAAGGGUGACGAAAAGGCUUCAAUCUCCCCCUCUCAGGUACAUCCACCCAAACUGUAGGCUUUUCUGGGAAAACAAGAGUGAUACCCCCUACGGAGCCACUCACAAUGCAAACUGAAUGAAAAACUAUUGUAGAGCCUCUACUUAGCACACUCUCCCAUCAAUCUAUUAAGAAAAGACAUUCUCUGCAUAUUAAAAGACAAUAUUGUGUGUACCCAAAGCGGCCUGCCAGGGGAGUUUCAUGAAAAUCCCUCAGCAAACCAGAUCCAUUCAUGAAUGCAACAGCAGAAAGACCCCCACAGCCAGGGGCACCGCACCAUGGACAGCGUUCCAGUAGAAACCACCGGCACCUUGGAGAGCGGCACGACAAGCCCGGAUCGAGGCCAUGAGGGGGAGGCCGCCACAGCAGGAGACAACGAGCAAAACAGUAAGGAGUGUGAGGUAGAGACGAGACCGGCCUGAACAGUCAAGACCAAGUGCUGUGCUGUUCGGUCCUGCCUACGGCCCUUGGUGGCUACAACUUUUAUACACAUUAAACCAAUAAAACAUGCUUCACAAGUUUAUAAGGUACAUUCAACAAUUUUGUUUAAUAAAGCAACAUCGUUUCAACAG